AGUGAACGCUGGCGGUAGGCCUAACACAUGCGAGUCGAACGGCAGCACAGUAAGAGCUUGCUCUUACGGGUGGCGAGUGGCGGACGGGUGAGGAAUACAUCGGAAUCUACUUUUUCGUGGGGGAUAACGUAGGGAAACUUACGCUAAUACCGCAUACGGCCUACGGGUGAAAGCAGGGGAUCUUCGGACCUUGCGCGAUUGAAUGAGCCGAUGUCGGAUUAGCUAGUUGGCGGGGGAAAGGCCCACCAAGGCGACGAUCCGUAGCUGGUCUGAGAGGAUGAUCAGCCACACUGGAACUGAGACACGGUCCAGACUCCUACGGGAGGCAACAGUGGGGAAUAUGGGACAAUGGGCGCAAGCCGGAUCCAUCCAUACCGCGUGGGUGAAGAAGGCCUUCGGGUUGUAAAGCCCUUUUGUUGGGAAAGAAAAGCAGCAGGUUAAUACCCCGCUGUUCUGACGGUACCCAAAGAAUAAGCGCCGGCUAACUUCGUG
rnacentral:rRNA from 1 species